AAAUUGAAGAGUUUGAUCAUGGCUCAGAUUGAACGCUGGCGGCAGGCCUAACACAUGCAAGUCGAACGGUAACAGGAAGCAGCUUGCUGCUUUGCUGACGAGUGGCGGACGGGUGAGUAAUGUCUGGGAAACUGCCUGAUGGAGGGGGAUAACUACUGGAAACGGUGGCUAAUACCGCAUAAUGUCGCAAGACCAAAGAGGGGGACCUUCGGGCCUCUUGCCAUCAGAUGUGCCCAGAUGGGAUUAGCUUGUUGGUGAGGUAACUGCUCACCAAGGCGACGAUCCCUAGCUGGUCUGAGAGGAUGACCAGCCACACUGGAACUGAGACACGGUCCAGACUCCUACGGGAGGCAGCAGUGGGGAAUAUUGCACAAUGGGCGCAAGCCUGAUGCAGCCAUGCCGCGUGUAUGAAGAAGGCCUUCGGGUUGUAAAGUACUUUCAGCGGGGAGGAAGGUGUUGUGGUUAAUAACCGCAGCAAUUGACGUUACCCGCAGAAGAAGCACCGGCUAACUCCGUGCCAGCAGCCGCGGUAAUACGGAGGGUGCAAGCGUUAAUCGGAAUUACUGGGCGUAAAGCGCACGCAGGCGGUCUGUCAAGUCGGAUGUGAAAUCCCCGGGCUCAACCUGGGAACUGCAUUCGAAACUGGCAGGCUUGAGUCUUGUAGAGGGGGGUAGAAUUCCAGGUGUAGCGGUGAAAUGCGUAGAGAUCUGGAGGAAUACCGGUGGCGAAGGCGGCCCCCUGGACAAAGACUGACGCUCAGGUGCGAAAGCGUGGGGAGCAAACAGGAUUAGAUACCCUGGUAGUCCACGCCGUAAACGAUGUCUACUUGGAGGUUGUGCCCUUGAGGCGUGGCUUCCGGAGCUAACGCGUUAAGUAGACCGCCUGGGGAGUACGGCCGCAAGGUUAAAACUCAAAUGAAUUGACGGGGGCCCGCACAAGCGGUGGAGCAUGUGGUUUAAUUCGAUGCAACGCGAAGAACCUUACCUGGUCUUGACAUCCACAGAACUUUCCAGAGAUGGAUUGGUGCCUUCGGGAACUGUGAGACAGGUGCUGCAUGGCUGUCGUCAGCUCGUGUUGUGAAAUGUUGGGUUAAGUCCCGCAACGAGCGCAACCCUUAUCCUUUGUUGCCAGCGGUCCGGCCGGGAACUCAAAGGAGACUGCCAGUGAUAAACUGGAGGAAGGUGGGGAUGACGUCAAGUCAUCAUGGCCCUUACGACCAGGGCUACACACGUGCUACAAUGGCGCAUACAAAGAGAAGCGACCUCGCGAGAGCAAGCGGACCUCAUAAAGUGCGUCGUAGUCCGGAUUGGAGUCUGCAACUCGACUCCAUGAAGUCGGAAUCGCUAGUAAUCGUGGAUCAGAAUGCCACGGUGAAUACGUUCCCGGGCCUUGUACACACCGCCCGUCACACCAUGGGAGUGGGUUGCAAAAGAAGUAGGUAGCUUAACCUUCGGGAGGGCGCUUACCACUUUGUGAUUCAUGACUGGGGUGAAGUCGUAACAAGGUAACCGUAGGGGAACCUGC
rnacentral:rRNA from 1 species